CGACAGCAAAGCUAAAUGCCCCGUCACCUUAUCCUGUGAUUACGUUUGGUCCGUUUGCUUCCGCAACCAAUGUUUUGACAUCGUUGUCACACGCAAUUGGAACCGUUUUCAUGCCACCAAAGUGGUCAUUAGGAUAUCAACAGUGUCGUUGGAGCUAUAACUCAGAUGCGCGUGUCCGUGAGAUUGCCAAAACAUUUAGAG